UACAGAGGGUGCGAGCGUUAAUCGGAAUUACUGGGCGUAAAGCGCGCGUAGGCGGCUUUGCAAGCCGGAUGUGAAAUCCCCGGGCUUAACCUGGGAACUGCAUUCGGGACUGCAUUGCUAGAGUAUGAGAGAGGGAAGUGGAAUUUCAGGUGUAGCGGUGAAAUGCGUAGAUAUCUGAAGGAACAUCAGUGGCGAAAGCGACUUCCUGGACCAAUACUGACGCUCAUGUGCGAAAGCGUGGGGAGCAAACAGG
rnacentral:rRNA from 1 species